GACGAACCGUGCGAACGUUGUUCGGAUUCACUGGGCUUAAAGGGCGCGUAGGCGGCUUGCCAAGUCAGGGGUGAAAUCUUUCGGCUCAACCGGAAAAGUGCUUCUGAUACUGGCGGGCUGGAGGAGGGUAGGGGCAGAUGGAACUUCCGGUGGAGCGGUGAAAUGCGUAGAUAUCGGAAGGAACGCCGGUGGCGAAAGCGAUCUGCUGGACCCUUUCUGACGCUGAGGCGCGAAAGCCAGGGAGCAAAGCGGG
rnacentral:rRNA from 1 species